GUUGGGAAAUAUGUUUUAUCCGGCUGACUUUCUCAGGACUUAAGCAGGAGCCAGCCUCUCAGCUCUGAGGGACUACUUCAAAGAGAUGAGAAGACAGAGGCUGAGUCAAAUGAAAAGAUUCACUCUCCUGUAGUGUUGAAGGUUUUCUUCAAAAGAUCUAAGGUA